UACGGAGGGUGCAAGCGUUAAUCGGAAUUACUGGGCGUAAAGCGAGUGUAGGCGGUCAUGUAAGUCGGAUGUGAAAUCCCCGGGCUCAACCUGGGAACUGCAUUCGAUACUGCAUGACUAGAGUCUGAUAGAGGGAAGUGGAAUUCCAGGUGUAGCGGUGAAAUGCGUAGAUAUCUGGAAGAACACCAGUGGCGAAGGCGGCUUCCUGGAUCAAGACUGACGCUGAGGCUCGAAAGCGUGGGGAGCAAACAGG
rnacentral:rRNA from 1 species